UACGUAGGGUGCGAGCGUUAAUCGGAAUUACUGGGCGUAAAGCGUGCGCAGGCGGUUCGUUGUGUCGGUGGUGAAAUCCCCGGGCUUAACCUGGGAAUGGCCAUGGAAACUGGCGAACUGGAGUGCGGCAGAGGGGGGUGGAAUUCCGCGUGUAGCAGUGAAAUGCGUAGAGAUGCGGAGGAACACCAGUGGCGAAGGCGGCUUUCUGGUCUGUAACUGACGCUGAGGCGCGAAAGCGUGGGGAGCAAACAGG
rnacentral:rRNA from 1 species